AGUGUGACUUUUUCAGAAGGUGAGUUACGCGUUCCGGGCAGUCAGUGCACUGCUCAGCAGGAGGAGGUCCUGCAGGUGGUGCUGCAAGGGGUCGGCUGGCAGCAGGUGGUGGCUCAGCAGGAGGAGGUCCUGCAGGUGGUGCUGCAAGGGGUCGGCUGGCCGCAGGGGGACUGCACAGACACAGGCUGGCAGCAGGUGGUGGCUCAGCAGGAGGAGGUCCUGCAGGUGGUGCUGCAAGGGGUCGGCUGGCCGCAGGGAGGCCGGCAGCAGGGGGACUGCACAGACACAGGCUGGCAGCAGGUGGUGCUGCAAGGGGUCGGCUGGCCGCAGGGGGGCCGGCAGCAGGGGGACUGCACAGACACAGGCUGGCAGCAGGUGGUGGCCCAGCAGCAGGGCCUGCACACC
rnacentral:lncRNA from 1 species